GUUAGCACAUACGAGACCAGACAAUGACUGAGUGACUGAGAGUGGUUUAUAUAGGGUGUGCGUUGAUUGAAGAAUGUGGAUCAGGUGGUGCUAAUUAGUACUCAGGGGAAUGUGAGUGCUGGUGAGUGAGAGAAGGACCUGGUGACUCCGUGACAUUUAGCUAGUAAUACAUGCAUUUUUAUACAUUUUAACAUAAGGCAAUGUUAUGGUUUUUAGACAUUCUGGGAAUUAAGGCUAGUCUGCAAGUGAGCAUCAGUUCAGAACUAUCUUAUAUAAUAUAUAUAGAAUGUUAUAGACAAAAAUGACAAAAAAUAUUUCCUGUAGCUGUUUCUUUACAUGUAUUUGGUUUUCUAAUGAUUUUCAUUUACAAACUGCCAUCUUGUCCACAAUUCUCAGUAAACACUUUUUUUGGCAUCUUCUGAAAACUUCAGGUAGCACUCAUGUCUUCAGCUUAAUCUCACCUCUGGUCAAUGUCAGCUCUGUUUGCUGUUUAUAAUCCUGAGCUGCUCCUUUCAGACCAGCACACACAGCAGAGAGUAUAAAAUCACUCUCAGAUUUACCAAAAGCCCUAAAAAAGCCUGGCAAGUUUAAACCUCUUUCAUAAAGGUCAAUGUUAAUCCAGACAAUUUCAAAACCAAACCCAACGCCAGCUGUUGCACAGGAAGUGGCAUGCAGCUACUGAAGAAUGCAUUAGAUGGUGGAGCAAUGAGGAGAGAAAACAUGAGCAGAGCAGAGCUAGUUUCUUGUUAAAGCUUGUUCUUCAGUGUCUCCAGCUGGUGGAGAGAAAAUAUGAUGCUAUAAUUAUACUCAGGAGCAAAAGCAAGAAGGGCAAUGAAGAUCCUCAGCUUUUAAGCAGCUAAAAUGCUGACACACCUCCUUUCCAGAAGCACACACUUUCUACACUAGAUGAGUGCCUUGUCCCUCAUCCCCAGCCCCUGCCCCAUGAUCUACUGGAAUGGAGUCAGGAUCAGCUCCAGCAGGUCACUGAGGAGGAAGACAGCAAAGACUGAGGUUCGACCUCCGCUCUUAUAAUGGCAGUACAGUACACUGAGAGCCCAAAUAAGAGCUGGAAAACCUGCACACACACCGGCGAUGAGGAAGAUGGACAGGCGGAUGGGUUUGGUGUUCAGGGUCGCACUGUCAGAAUACCAGUUCUUUAAGCAGUACAUGAUGUGGAACACUGUAUGUAAUUAAAAAUGGACAAAAGUAGUGAUGAAUGUUUCUUUAAUUAACAGCAAACUGUAAAUGACCCAAUACAGAGACAUACUAGCUUUGAUAAAUCCUUUUAUUUAAACCAAA